AAAUCAUUGCCAGCAGACCUUCACUUCAAGAAAUGUUAAAGGAAAUUCUUCAUUCAGCAGGAACAUGAGACCAGAUGGAAAUCUGAAUUUAUACAAAGAAAUGAAAAGUGCCAGAAAAAAUAAAAUAAAGGUAAAGGUUUUCUGCUACAAAUCAGAUUUCCUGAUAGAGGUGUACUGAUAUAGAGUGGAAAAGGCAAAGGAAUCUCCUGAUAGAAGAGUAGAAUCCAAAAAUAAUCUGAGAGCAAUUGAAGGUCAUGGUGAGGAACAUGAACGUUGAAAUGGAGGAAACAUGGGUUUGAUUGCCAAUUCUACCCCUCUCAAGUUCUUUGGUUUGGGGUAAAUGAGUCAACCUUACUAGAUUCGGUUCAAUGGAACUAACAUGAAAUCAUUUGCUAUUGAACAUCUAUCUCUACAGAGCACCAUUCUAGGUGUUAGAAGUUCCCCAAUGAACAAGACAGAGAAGUUACAGGAUAUCAUGGAGCUUAAAUUGUUUAGUUUGUCAGAGGAGGGAAAACAAUAACAAGUAGGCAAAUUAGAAAGAUAAUUUUAUAUAUUUAUAUUAUAGGUGGUAAGAAAUAAAAGUAAAUAAUAUGUUAGAGAGAUCCUGGGUCCUUCUUUAGAUGGAAAUUAUGGAAAGCCUCUCUGAGAAGGAGAUAUCUGAGGUGAAACAGAAGGAAAACUGUCCUAUGUGAAAAUCAAGAGGGGGCGCCUGGGUGGCUCAAUCCGUUAA